GUGGGGAAUAUUGCGCAAUGGGGGCAACCCUGACGCAGCAAUACCGCGUGAGUGAAGAAGGUUUUCGGAUCGUAAACUUCUAUCCUUGGUGAAGAUAAUGACGGUAGCCAAGAAGGAAGCCCCGGCUAACUACGUGCCAGCAGCCGCGGUAAUACGUAGGGGGCUAGCGUUGUUCGGAUUUACUGGGCGUAAAGCGCACGUAGGCGGAUCGUUAAGUCGGGGGUGAAAUCCUGGAGCUCAACUCCAGAACUGCCUUCGAUACUGGCGAUCUUGAGUCCGGAAGAGGUGAGUGGAACUCCUAGUGUAGAGGUGGAAUUCGUAGAUAUUAGGAAGAACACCAGUGGCGAAGGCGGCUCACUGGUCCGGUACUGACGCUGAGGUGCGAAAGCGUGGGGAGCAAACAGGAUUAGAUACCCCGGUAGUCC
rnacentral:rRNA from 1 species